CCGUUGUUCACAGGAGGGUGCCCUACAAGGCAGGGAACAGAUCUUAGAGCUUCUGAUGAGUGGACUCCUGAUCCUAUCUCUUGAGUAGAAGUCACUCUACAAAGCAUCGGAACUGUGACAGUUAAAUUGUCAACUUCACAUGCCCUAAAAUCACCUGGGAAGAAAGGCUCAAUGAAGAAUUACCUAGAUCAGAAAAGUCUUCAUACAUUAGUACUUGGAAAACAGUGAUGUCUUCAGAAGUUCCCUUCUCUUUUAACUUGUCAGAAGUUCCCG
rnacentral:sRNA from 1 species